rnacentral:rRNA from 1 species
AGCCGCGGGGGGGAAGAAAGCCCUUGGGAUGUAAACACCUUUAGAACGGGACGAUGCUGACGGAACCGGAUGGAAAAAACCCCGGCUAACUUUGUGCCAAGCAGCCGCGGUAAU